GGGGAAUAUUGCACAAUGGGGGAAACCCUGAUGCAGCGACGCCGCGUGGAGGAAGAAGGUCUUCGGAUUGUAAACUCCUGUUGUUGAGGAAGAUAAUGACGGUACUCAACAAGGAAGUGACGGCUAACUACGUGCCAGCAGCCGCGGUAAAACGUAGGUCACAAGCGUUGUCCGGAAUUACUGGGUGUAAAGGGAGCGCAGGCGGGAAGACAAGUUGGAAGUGAAAUCCAUGGGCUCAACCCAUGAACUGCUUUCAAAACUGUUUUUCUUGAGUAGUGCAGAGGUAGGCGGAAUUCCCGGUGUAGCGGUGGAAUGCGUAGAUAUCGGGAGGAACACCAGUGGCGAAGGCGGCCUACUGGGCACCAACUGACGCUGAGGCUCGAAAGUGUGGGUAGCAAACAGGAUUAGAUACCCUGGUAGUCCACACUGUAAACGAUGAUUACUAGGUGUUGGAGGAUUGACCCCUUCAGUGCCGCAGUUAACACAAUAAGUAAUCCACCUGGGGAGUACGACCGCAAGGUUGAAACUCAAAGGAAUUGACGGGGGCCCGCACAAGCAGUGGAGUAUGUGGUUUAAUUCGACGCAACGCGAAGAACCUUACCAAGUCUUGACAUCCUGCGACGCACAUAGAAAUAUGUGUUUCCUUCGGGACGCAGAGACAGGUGGUGCAUGGUUGUCGUCAGCUCGUGUCGUGAGAUGUUGGGUUAAGUCCCGCAACGAGCGCAACCCUUAUGGUCAGUUACUACGCAAGAGGACUCUGGCCAGACUGCCGUUGACAAAACGGAGGAAGGUGGGGAUGACGUCAAAUCAUCAUGCCCUUUAUGACUUGGGCUACACACGUACUACAAUGGCGUUAAACAAAGAGAAGCAAGACCGCGAGGUGGAGCAAAACUCAGAAACAACGUCCCAGUUCGGACUGCAGGCUGCAACUCGCCUGCACGAAGUCGGAAUUGCUAGUAAUCGUGGAUCAGCAUGCCACGGUGAAUACGUUCCCG
rnacentral:rRNA from 2 species